rnacentral:rRNA from 1 species
UACAGGGGGGCAAGCGUUGUUCGGAAUUACUGGGCGUAAAGGGCUCGUAGGCGGCCAACUAAGUCCGACGUGAAAUCCCAAAGCUUAACUUUGGAACUGCGUCGGAUACUGGAAUGGCUUGAAUUCGGGAGAGGGAUGCAGGAAUUCCAGGUGUAGGCGGUGAAAUGACGUAGAUAUCUGGAGGAAUACCGGUGGCGAAGGCGGCAUCCUGGACCGACAUUGACGCUGAUGAGCGAAAGCUAGGGAG